GACGAACGCUGGCGGCGUGCCUAAUACAUGCAAGUUGAGCGCUGAAGGUUGGUACUUGUACCGACUGGAUGAGCAGCGAACGGGUGAGUAACGCGUGGGGAAUCUGCCUUUGAGCGGGGGACAACAUUUGGAAACGAAUGCUAAUACCGCAUAAAAACUUUAAACACAAGUUUUAAGUUUGAAAGAUGCAAUUGCAUCACUCAAAGAUGAUCCCGCGUUGUAUUAGCUAGUUGGUGAGGUAAAGGCUCACCAAGGCGAUGAUACAUAGCCGACCUGAGAGGGUGAUCGGCCACAUUGGGACUGAGACACGGCCCACACUCCUACGGGAGGCAGCAGUAGGGAAUCUUCGGCAAUGGACGAAAGUCUGACCGAGCAACGCCGCGUGAGUGAAGAAGGUUUUCGGAUCGUAAAACUCUGUUGGUAGAGAAGAACGUCGGUGAGAGUGGAAAGCGCAUCAAGUGACGGUAACUAACCAGAAAGGGACGGCUAACUACGU
rnacentral:rRNA from 1 species